rnacentral:rRNA from 1 species
UUGACCUCGGAUCAGGUAGGGAUACCCGCUGAACUUAAGCAUAUCAAUAAGCGGAGGAAAAGAAACCAACCGGGAUUGCCUCAGUAACGGCGAGUGAAGCGGCAAGAGCUCAAAUUUGAAAGCUG